AGUCUGGGAGUGAACUGCUGGGCAAAGCUGAAAAGGGAAUGAGGAGCCACCUCCCAGCCAAGAACAAUCUCACUGGGGUAGAUAAACCCUCUGGCACUUCUGAAAAACCACACCCAUGUUCAUCAGAUGAGCUCCUAGACUGGUGCUUCAAGGCAAAAGGAACAGCUUCUGGAAAUCAGCUUCCUGUGCUACUGAGCAGCUCCACGUAUGAGAGAAGACAAGAAAAAUCUUGGAAGAAGAAAAGAUCAGUAGCAAAGAUCACACGGAAAUGGUUUGUUGAGGUUUUCAGACCUCCCUGACUUGUGCUUUUGGCCCUGAGCUUUGGUUCUUCACCUCCAUCUGCAUCCUCAGGAUGUUCCAGAUCCUACUACAAAAUUCUACAGCUGAACCUGGGACAGGAGCCCCACUAUAGGACCAAAGCUGCUGCUUCUGUCUUUCCAUUCCCCACACCAUGUUGGCUCCUCGGAUCACACAGGUUGCCAGCAAUGUGAGUCUUCUAUAUCACAAAGAAAAAGACACCCAAAGCAAAGUUAUGAAGAGAAAUGGACAUUUUCUGUCAAACAGACGAUAAGAAAUGUGUGGGAAGGGAGCAGGUGAACUUACUUUCUUCUGAGUGUGAAGAGACUGUUUGUGCCACUGGCACAUCCCAUGGUCAUACCUCUGGUGCUGAGCCAUUUGUGGGGUCUCUCUACUGUGAUUUAAGAACAAGGAGUAACCAACUGUGCUCUCAGUCAGUCACAUCUGGAGAAAUCACAACAGAUAUUCACUUACCAAAAACAAGGGACCUGCCUGGACCAGAAAAUGGAACUGAAGCUGCAAAGUCUCUACACUUGAAAAUACUGAAGAUGGCUACACUGGGACAAACUCACCACUGAGACAAGCAUCAUGAUUCUUGUAAAGAUAUGCUUUCAUCAAACCCAAGAUUGGCCUUAGCCACUCUUUAGGACUCAAACUGUUGUGGAGACCAACAGGGCAGUCCUUAGUAAUGUGUCCUUUUCAAACAUGCACUUUUCAUUAAGUAACUUUUUUUAGACAAAGAACUUUUUGCUAGAGGAUGAGAGGAUCUGCCUGAUGAAAUAUUGACUCUCCCAAUUCAUUUUAGAUUCUCAAGCAUCAUUCAACAGCUCUGAAUUGACUAAUGGCCAUCACAGCAAAUGGAUUUCCACCUGAAUCUUUAGUUCUUGUCUGAAUGAUAUUAAUACACAUUGUUUAUCACUAAUGAGCUCUAGAAUAUGAUGUUAACAGAAGCAAUUAAGGCCCAGAAUAACUAUCUGCAACACUGUGCUGGGGCUGAGUGCAUGGGUAAUGAAUCACUUCCCUAGCUCAGCUCCAGUUUCCUCACUGCAAAUCGUACGUCAGAUCUCAGUAAGCUCAUCUGAGUGUCCCUGCUGUUGCCUUCAUUUCUAACUUAUGUGUGUCCCAGAGGUUAUUUAUAAAAGAAAGAAAUACAGAGUUGUUUUUUUUUUUAAGACCUAGCCUUGUGGGUUUUAUUUGUUGUUGAGUGAUUGCAGCCACCUUCAAAGUGAGGUGUCAUAUUAAGACUACCUUUCCCUCUAGCAGGCAUAGAUUUAAACUUCUCCUAAGGUGUUUAAGUUCAGGAGAAUAAAGCUUGACUCAGAGCACUGUUUAGCCAGGAUUGCCAGACCCUGACUUCUUGUGCAGAUAAUCACUACAAAGAGCUCAGGCACUUCAAGGGGUUUUUUUUGCCUACUCAGAACAAGAGUGUCUCUCAAAAAUCUUUGGUGAACUGCUGCUUCAGGGCAUCAUUUCCAUGUCACUUGUGGCCACAAGAAUUUAAAAGGUAAGACUGAGAUUAACAAGAAAAGCAAAGUACAAAGUACAAUGCUACCCAGAUAAUUUUUGUUUUGCACUGUUGACCUGUCCCAGCAAAGGCUGGAUGUACCUGUCUUUAAUGGACUAUAUUAAACACUGAGUCUUCGAGGUACUUUGGAGCUGACUUGGUCCUGAAAAGUCAGGACUUUUGUCAUUUGCUACGUGACAGCAACAUUCCCACAAGUGAAGAUGAGAAUUGCUGUUAAGUCUCCAGUUUAAGACUUGGUCAUACACUUGAAGCUAGAGAAUUUUAACUAUUGACUUCAGUAGGAACCUGUUGUAAAUAAAGCUCAACUUGAACCAACUAAGCUUUUCUAUGUUCCAAUACACUGAAUAAUACACUCAUCUGGUCUUUUCAGAGUCUUGAAGGAGAAUUAAGUAAACCAGAAGUAUCAGAAAACAGGAUCAUUUCCCUUAUACUGUAAGAAAUUGUUGAGACAAGUCAACAACAGUGUGAAUUUACUAUUGUCAAGUAUUUUGGCGGGAGGCUUAAAAUCUGCCUGAAGAUUCUCUGUCAGUUUAAACUGAGAAAACGUGAACAGCCAUGAACCCAUUUCAUAGGCUCAGCCUCUUGCUUCUCUGCAAUAGAACUGGCAUCCUACACCUGUGAUGUUUUCCUUAAAUAAGACCAAAACAAACAGUUUGGGCUGUUUAGGCUCACCUGGCUGGCUUGGACUGUGCUGCACUGCUGUUCCUCUCAGCCCCAGCUCUGACUGGUGUUUUUAAAACACCCAUAAGAAAUGAAAGUUGAA